rnacentral:rRNA from 1 species
UACGGGGGGGGCAAGCGUUGUUCGGAAUUACUGGGCGUAAAGGGCUCGUAGGCGGCCAACUAAGUCAGACGUGAAAUCCCUCGGCUUAACCGGGGAACUGCGUCUGAUACUGGAUGGCUUGAAUCCGGGAGAGGGAUGCGGAAUUCCAGGUGUAGCGGUGAAAUGCGUAGAUAUCUGGAGGAACACCGAUGGCGAAGGCAGGUCUCUGGGCCGAUACUGACGCUGAGGAGCGAAAGCGUGGGGAGCGAACAGG